AAUAAGUGCAGUUUUGCACUAUUCACGUUCAACGUUUGACCGUUCGUCUUAUUUGAAAUUAUUUUAUGAUUAGUAUUUUUAUUGCUAUUAGAUGAUAAAACAUGAAUAGUACUUUAUGUGUGACUAAAUAUUUUUAAAUUUUUCAAAUAAGAUGAACGGUCAAACGUUGGGCACGGAUAUCCACGACUGCACUUAUU
rfam:Oryza glaberrima chromosome 3 Oglab03_0146_33, whole genome shotgun sequence.